UACGUAGGGUGCAAGCGUUGUCCGGAAUUAUUGGGCGUAAAGAGCUCGUAGGCGGUGUGUCGCGUCGGUCGUGGAAACUUGGGGCUUAACUCUGAGCUUGCGGUCGAUACGGGCAUCACUGGAGUUCGGCAGGGGAGACUGGAAUUCCUGGUGUAGCGGUGAAAUGCGCAGAUAUCAGGAGGAACACCGGUGGCGAAGGCGGGUCUCUGGGCCGAUACUGACGCUGAGGAGCGAAAGCGUGGGGAGCGAACAGG
rnacentral:rRNA from 1 species